GCCUAAUUUCUCCACAUUGUAGGAGAGAAAAAAAGAAGAGACAUAAAGUGAGUAAAAAAAACGUCCAUGCAUUUAGAAUUGAUCUAGAACUACAACUUACAUUUCUUUUAGCGAUUAUUGUUUUUUUUUUAUCUCACAAUUCCAUCCCUACUCGUUCAUCUGGGCUUGGACCGGCAAAAGUGACCCGAAAUAGGCACUCUGGGGGAGUUACUUUGUGUGUGUGUGUAAGUAUUUUUAAACCUUGUGAUCCACAAAACAGCAUAACAGUAAAAGAAGAACUGACUGCGUUACAGUCAGUGCGGGAGCAGCGGCUUCGCUCAUGCGCGAUUCAUUUGCAGUUUGGACGCAUAGGGGUGAACAUCUCCUGUCCUGAUAGCAGCUGGGGGAGGACUAUCCUCCGCCCAUGAGCACUUUGGCACGGGUGAGGUGCCCACGGCAGCACCUGCUGCUUGUUGAGAAGAGUGAUACACGCAUUCACGUCAAAAAGUUGUCAUAAAUAAGUCUCCAGUAACACCAGAAAAAGUCACCAGAUUUGUCGCAGGUCGCUUUUUAGAAAAAAAGUCGCAAAGUGGCUCUGAAAACUCGCUAAAUAUAGUGACAAAGUCGCUAAGUUGGCAACACUGCCCCUGGCAUGCGCACUCACAACAAUGGCUGAGCCUAAACAGAGUCAUGUGUAGAUGUAUUUUACCUCCACAAACUAUGGAAGAAAUAUAGUAUCAUCAGAAUCCAACUAUUUUUGGACAUUGAAUUUAUAACAUUGAAUUUUUAUCCCAAGCCAGAGCAAUCAGCACUAGAUCGAGUCGAGCGGCUCUCAGCCAAUUAAAUUACGCUGUUUGAUCACAUGACACCGUUAGCCAGCAGUGUGUCUCCUGAAAAGAGAGCUGUUUAGAGAGGCAGUUUUGAAUUUAGGAGCGGCAAGAUGGCAGCGGCAAACCCUGGCGGUUCUCCGGUAAGUGUAUUGUGUUCUAUCUUCUAGUUUGUCUUUUGAAACGUUAAUUUUAUUUAAAUCAGUUGGUCACGUAUAAAGUACACAGACGGGGUCUUUGCUCAACUCGUCUGAGGCGUGUCUCACUAAGCGCUACAUGCUAGCAUCCUGCUAACUGAGCUAACCUUUACAUGCUGUGCUCUACAAAAUAGGAUACUCGGUACAAAACCAUACUCCGCAGAUAUUGAUAGAUAGACGAACACUGCAAAUAUAAUGUGGGAAAUGAGAAUGGCAUUUGGUGAAGGGAUAAAAUACACCAUGAAUAAAACCAUAGAGUGAAUGGCUGCCAUGGUUGCAGAACGGCCUGAUUUAAUGACUAGAAUGGGGAAGAGUGAGGUGAAGUGAACCAAAGCCACAAAACACGGUCAGACAAGGCGGGAAUAGGGCAGUGAUAUGUCCGUCAGUAUGAAGUUGGUGUGUGCUUUGGUGAACAAAAAACUCGAGACCGGUGGCAGGAAGAUGGGAGACUCGUGUUUCACUGGAAUAGUGGUGAAUUAAAACAUCCUUUGUUGGGGAAAUUUAGGUGUAAAUGCAGCCAUACAGGCGAGACAGAGGCAGACCAGGAAGUGCAGAAAGCAAGGCAAACAUUAGAAAUAUUAAAA